rnacentral:tRNA from 1 species
GGGCUCGUAGCUCAAUGGUAGAGCAACGGACUCAUAAUCCGCAGGCUGUAGGUUCGAAUCCUACCGGGCCCA